GACGAACGCUGGCGGCGUGCCUAAUACAUGCAAGUAGAACGCUGAAGGAGGAGCUUGCUCUUCUGGAUGAGUUGCGAACGGAUGAGUAACGCGUAGGUAACCUGCCUGGUAGCGGGGGAUAACUAUUGGAAACGAUAGCUAAUACCGCAUAACAGUAGAUGUUGCAUGACAUUUGCUUAAAAGGUGCAAUUGCACCACUACCAGAUGGACCUGCGUUGUAUUAGCUAGUUGGUGGGGUAACGGCUCACCAAGGCGACGAUACAUAGCCGACCUGAGAGGGUGAUCGGCCACACUGGGACUGAGACACGGCCCAGACUCCUACGGGAGGCAGCAGUAGGGAAUCUUCGGCAAUGGACGGAAGUCUGACCGAGCAACGCCGCGUGAGUGAAGAAGGUUUUCGGAUCGUAAAGCUCUGUUGUAAGAGAAGAACGAGUGUGAGAGUGGAAAGUUCACACUGUGACGGUAUCUUACCAGAAAGGGACGGCUAACUACGUG
rnacentral:rRNA from 1 species